AGAGUUUGAUCAUGGCUCAGGACGAACGCUGGCGGCGUGCCUAAUGCAUGCAAGUCGCACGGGAGCUUCGGCUUCAGUGGCGCACGGCUGGGUAGCCCGUGGGGAUGUGGCCGACCGUGGGGGACAACGGAGCGAAAGCUGCGCUAAUCCCGCAUACGCUCGCGAGAGGAAAGCGGCAACGCGCGGUCGGGGCACCCUGCGCCCCAUCAGGUUGUUGGUGUGGUAACGGCGCACCAAGCCAUUGACGGGUCGCUGGUCUGAGAGGAUGACCAGCCAGACUGGGACUGAGACACGGCCCAGACUCCUACGGGAGGCAGCAGCAAGGGAUUUUCCCCAAUGGGCGCAAGCCUGAGGGAGCAACGCCGCGUGGAGGAUGACGGCCUUCGGGUUGUAAACUCCUUUUGCGUGGGACGAUGAUGACGGUACCACGCGAAUAAGCCUCGGCUAACUCCGUGCCAGCAGCCGCGGUAAUUC
rnacentral:rRNA from 1 species